GUCUUGGUGUAGAAGUUAGAACACAUCCCUUUCAAAAGACUUCGAGGAAUUGCUUUUGUUUUCUUGCAAAGUGACUGUUAUUUCGCUAUAUCCUAUCUACGUAAGAGUGUUUUGGACAAGUCUCCCGCUGCCUCCAGAUGCGUCUCUUGGCUCUGCUCGUGGCACUCCUGUCCCUUGUGUGUGCCACGAGUGCCUUCUUUCCUCUCCCACGUGGUAAUGGAUUUAAUGUUCGCCAGAACUUCAGAAGAGGGCGUCCGAUAGGUGGAGGACGACCGCGACCCUACGUCUUCGAUGACUUUAUCAGAGGAAAGUAAGAGAAAAAAACACAGAGUUAGAGCGAUGUAUAAGGGCCCUUCACCAUCCGCUGGGGUCAACCUUGUCCCGUUUUCUUUUUUUUUUCUUCUUUUUUUUUGAUUGAUUGUUUGUAUAUUUUGUAUUUUGCGGUGUGAAUAAAUGAUUUAUUAUUA